rnacentral:rRNA from 1 species
GAGUUUGAUCUUGGCUCAGGAUGAACGCUGGCGGCGUGCCUAAUACAUGCAAGUCGAGCGGAAACACUUCGGGUGUCGAGCGGCGGACGGCUGAGUAACACGUAGGAACGUACCCCAACUGAGGGACAAGCAUCGGGAAACGGGUGUCUAAUACCGCAUGUGCUCUAAGGAGUAAAAGCUUCGGCGGUUUUGGGAACGGCCUGCGCAUGAUUAGCUUGUUGGUAGAGGUAAUGGCUCACCAAGGCUUCGAUCAUUAGCUGGUCUGAGAGGAUGACCAGCCAGACUGGGACUGAGAACGGCCCAGACUCCUACGGGAGGCAGCAGUAGGGAAUUUUCCACAAUGGGCGAAAGCCUGAUGGAGCAACGCCGCGUGCAGGAUGAAUGCCUUCGGGUUGUAAACUGCUUUAUAUGUGAGAUUUUGACGGUACAUAUGAAUAGGAUGGCUAACUCCGUGCCAGCCGCCGCCGUAAC